ensembl:processed_transcript
CCAAAGCUCAUUGUCUUCCCAUGCACCAAGAGAUGCCAGGAAGCUGGUGUAAAUCCUCAUAGAACCUGAAGGUUGAGCGGCCUGAAGUGGAUCACAAGCGAUCAGGGAUUCUAAAACUGUGCUGUUCCCAGCUUGUAUUUGAAAGUGGGAAAUAAAAGAUAAUUGCAAACUCUGCAGUCAAGAUUGCUCCUGCUUGUAAUCCCAGUGUUCAGAAGGUAGAAAAGGACUACUGUGAGCCGGGCCAGCCUGGGCUAGAGAGAAGACUUUGUGUCAAAGAACAAACUUCUAAAAAGGACAGUCUUGUGGGGUAGAGCCAUGGCAGUAGAAGAAGGGUGUGUGUCGGUUUGUGUGUGUUUAUUAGUCUUGCCCGUGCUAGAAGCAGAAUUUCAUGUACCAUCACAGUGCUCCCACUGUACCAUACCUGCUGGAUCCAGAACUGCAGAAGGGCCUGGAUCCCCUAGGUUUGCCACCAGGACCACCAGAA